AGGAUUUAUGCAAUAUGCAUUAACACACACAUACACACGCACUGACUGCCUUAUCCUAAAAGUGAAGGUGUUGCCUCUUUAAGGCAGCCUGGUGGUCAAGUCAUUUGUUUACUUUUCAGCCUGCAUCGUUAGUCAACCAGCUGUGACGUUUUCACGUUUUUAAGCCUUAAAAUGGAACCUUACACAAGGAGAAACUUCAAUAGAGACUGAACAAACCCUACCAGCCACACCAAGGCUCAUCAUGGAGAUAAACUUCUAACCUCAUCUAAGUGGAUGGUCAGCAUUGAGGGGAAAGUGAAACAUUGCAUUGAAGAGAAGCUGGAUUAUGCUGCAGCACUCUCUGUGCUUUUUGGUUGCUUUUAUUUUUUUAAUAUUGGGUACCAGGAGUCAGCCAGUGCCACACUUGAGCUUUUUCAAAGGUAAGUGUUAAAAAUUGUUAUGUCCAAUCAUGGUUUUAAUUAAGGAAUAUAUUUUUUGCCAAUAUGUAUUUGUUGUUGUACUUGGUUCUCAUAAUACAGGUAUUUAAUUAUUUUCUUUUUCUUUUUUUCUUUUUUGGCGCAAAACUGGGUCUACAGUUAAAAGAAAGGUUCAAAAUGUGAAUCCACAUGACCAUACAUUUUUGCAGAGCCGUAGUGAAUUUAA